rnacentral:rRNA from 1 species
UACGUAGGGGGCUAGCGUUGUCCGGAAUCAUUGGGCGUAAAGCGCGCGUAGGUGGCCUCAUAAGUCCGCUGUGAAAGUCAAAGGCUCAACCUUUGAAAGCCUGGUGGAUACUGUGAGGCUAGAGUACGGAAGAGGCGAGUGGAAUUCCUGGUGUAGCGGUGGAAUGCGCAGAUAUCAGGAGGAACACCAAUAGCGAAGGCAGCUCGCUGGGACGUUACUGACGCUGAGACGCGAAAGCGUGGGGAGCAAACAGG